rnacentral:rRNA from 1 species
UACGGGGGGGGGCAAGCGUUGUUCGGAAUUACUGGGCGUAGAGGGCUCGUAGGUGGCCAACUAAGUCAGACGUGAAAUCCCUCAGCUUAACUGGGGAACUGCGUCUGAUACUGGAUGGCUUGAGUUUGGGAGAGGGAUGCGGAAUUCCAGGUGUAGCGGUGAAAUGCGUAGAUAUCUGGAGGAACACCGGUGGCGAAGGCGGCAUCCUGGACCAACACUGACACUGAGGAGCGAAAGCCAGGGGAGCAAACGGG